UACGAAGGGGGCUAGCGUUGCUCGGAUUGACUGGGCGUAAAGGGCGCGUAGGCGGUCGUAUGUCAGCGUGAAAUUCCUGGGCUCAACCUGGGGGCGUGCGUUUGGGACGGUUGGGCUUGAGUGGGGAAGAGGGUCGUGGAAUUCCCAGUGUAGAGGUGAAAUUCGUAGAUAUUGGGAAGAACACCGGUGGCGAAGGCGGCGACCUGGUCCUUGACUGACGCUGAGGCGCGAGAGCGUGGGGAGCAAACAGG
rnacentral:rRNA from 1 species